rnacentral:lncRNA from 1 species
UGAUGAGAAGACAGUAAAUUUUAUUAUUUGAUUAUAAUCAUGUUCAGCUUUAUUUUCUGUUGUCUGAUGUAAUUGAAUAUAGAAAUUUUUUAUUUUACACAUAUGUAACAUAGUUUCGUUAUAACAUGCAAUUAAUCCCCUUUCUAGUGAUCUCGUGCAAUUAAUUUUAUUAUCUACUUUAGUUAUAACAUAUUGAUGUCCUAUUAUAAUAUCACAUCUAAAAUUUUCAUUAUUUUGAAAUUGGCAUCCAUAUGGAUAGAGGAUAGAAUAUAUAUACAUAUAACACAUUGUCUAACCUAUGUGUUAUAAAAGGCAAUAAAGGAUCCCCAGUCAUAAGGUAAAGUGAGCUAAAGUGUUGAGGAGAUGAAUGACAGAGAGAAAGAAGUUAUUAACAGUGCCUAUCAAGAACUUGGUUAACUUUCAGCAGAUAUGGGAACUUUCAGGAUUUUGUGUGGGUAAAGGUGGACUAUGCCCACAUUGACUUAUAUAUCCUGCCAGUAUUACACCUCUCAUGGAGAAAAUAAAUACUAAUAAUUCAAAAUCUUCAAAAAUAUUAUUAGAGGAUGAUGAUGAUGAUAAAUAUUAUCCUCUUUUCAAAAGAGCCUGCACUGAUGCCAAAUCAGUUAAAGCAUUACCAUAUACCAAUCCACCACCACUUACUAUUUUCAUCAUUUCACAUUCUGAGAGUGAUGUGUCUUUGGGGAAACUCUUCCCAUUCUUCAUUGAGAAAGCCAUCCAUGAAAUCUUGAUGUGCAAAACCUCCAAAAACUCAUCAGAUCAGAUGACUUUUUAGAAGUUUAUCAUAAUAUGGCUGCUUUAUUUCUAAAUUUCACAAAACUUGCUGGCAAGCCAGUGUACUUUUUAAUGAACAAAAUCCUCAAUACUUUAUAAGGGGUUAAUUAGUGAAUCUGAUUUAAUGGAUAUAUAUUCUGCUCUUAAAUAAAGCACUCUUUGCACUAAAUAUUUUCUAACGAUCUUUAAUCAAAACACUCAAAUGUUUUCAGUGGUUCAAACCACCAUCACCACCAUGCAAUAGAAGCAAGAAACGAUCGAGAUGACAACUAUUUGCCAGUCCCGUAUGGUACCUCCAGAUUAAGAUCAGUUAGGAGUAUAGCAUGCAAAGCUCAGAA